rnacentral:rRNA from 1 species
UACGGGGGGAGCAAGCGUUGUUCGGAUUUACUGGGCGUAAAGGGCGCGUAGGCGGCCACCGCAAGUCAGUUGUGAAAGCUCUGGGCUUAACCCAGAAAGGUCAGCUGAUACUGCGGGGCUAGAGUGCAGAAGGGGCAACUGGAAUUCUCGGUGUAGCGGUGAAAUGCGUAGAUAUCAGGAGGAACACCGGUGGCGAAGGCGGGUCUCUGGGCAGUAACUGACGCUGAGGAGCGAAAGCGUGGGGAGCGAACAGG